rnacentral:rRNA from 1 species
UCGACCUGAACUCAGAC